rnacentral:rRNA from 1 species
AUUGAACGCUGGCGGCAGGCCUAACACAUGCAAGUCGAACGGUAGCACAGAGGAGCUUGCUCCUUGGGUGACGAGUGGCGGACGGGUGAGUAAUGUCUGGGAAACUGCCCGAUGGAGGGGGAUAACUACUGGAAACGGUGGCUAAUACCGCAUAACGUCUUCGGACCAAAGUGGGGGACCUUCGGGCCUCACACCAUCGGAUGUGCCCAGAUGGGAUUAGCUAGUAGGUGGGGUAAUGGCUCACCUAGGCGACGAUCCCUAGCUGGUCUGAGAGGAGGACCAGCCACACUGGAACUGAGACACGGUCCAGACUCCUACGGGAGGCAGCAGUGGGGAAUAUUGCACAAUGGGCGCAAGCCUGAUGCAGCCAUGCCGCGUGUAUGAAGAAGGCCUUCGGGUUGUAAAGUACUUUCAGCGGGGAGGAAGGCGUUAAGGUUAAUAACCUUGGCGAUUGACGUUACCCGCAGAAGAAGCACCGGCUAACUCCGUGCCAGCAGCCGCCGUAAUAC